AUACGGAGGGUGCAAGCGUUAAUCGGAAUUACUGGGCGUAAAGGGUCCGCAGGGGGUUGAUUAAGUCUGACGUGAAAUCCCUGAGCUUAACUCAGGAACUGCGUUGGAGACUGGUUGACUAGAGUGUUGGAGAGGUGAUUGGAAUUCCAGGUGUAGCGGUGGAAUGCGUAGAUAUCUGGAAGAACAUCGAAAGCGAAGGCAGAUCACUGGACAAUGACUGACCCUCAGGGACGAAAGCAUGGGGAGCAAACAGGAUUAGAUACCCUGGUAGUCCAUGCCCUAAACGUUGUCAACUUGAUGUGAGCGGAAUUACUCCCGUUCGUGUCGAAGCUAACGCGAUAAGUUGACCGCCUGGGAACUACGGCCGCAAGGCUAAAACUCAAAUGAAUUGGCGGGG
rnacentral:rRNA from 1 species